rnacentral:rRNA from 1 species
AUUGAACGCUGGCGGCAUGCCUUACACAUGCAAGUCGAACGGUAACAGGUCUUCGGAUGCUGACGAGUGGCGAACGGGUGAGUAAUACAUCGGAACGUGCCUAGUAGUGGGGGAUAACUACUCGAAAGAGUGGCUAAUACCGCAUGAGAUCUACGGAUGAAAGCAGGGGAUCGCAAGACCUUGUGCUACUAGAGCGGCCGAUGGCAGAUUAGGUAGUUGGUGGGAUAAAAGCUUACCAAGCCGACGAUCUGUAGCUGGUCUGAGAGGACGAUCAGCCACACUGGGACUGAGACACGGCCCAGACUCCUACGGGAGGCAGCAGUGGGGAAUUUUGGACAAUGGGCGAAAGCCUGAUCCAGCAAUGCCGCGUGCAGGAUGAAGGCCUUCGGGUUGUAAACUGCUUUUGUACGGAACGAAAAAGCUCCUUCUAAUACAGGGGGCCCAUGACGGUACCGUAAGAAUAAGCACCGGCUAACUACGUGCCAGCCGCCGCGGUAAUAC